AUUGGCUCACGUGAUUAUGAAGGCUGAAAAGUUCCCCAGUAUGCCAGCCAUCUGCAAGCUGAAGAUGAAGCAAUGCCAGUAGCAUGACUCAAUCCAAGUUUGAAGGCCUCAGAACCAGAGAAGCCAAUGUUGUGUCUCUCAGCUCGAGACCAAAAACCUGACAACCCAGGGGAUUGCUGGUGUAAGUCCCAGAGUCCAAAGGUAGGAGAAUCUGGAGUUCUGAUAUCCAAGGGCAGUGGAAGACACAUGUCUCAUCUCUGAGAGACAAUGCAAAUUCACCCUUCCUGUGUCUUUUUGUUUUAUCCAGGCCCCCAGCUGACUGGAUAUUGCCCAUGCACAUUGAGAGUAGAUCUUCCCCACACAGUUCAUCAAUUUACAAGCCAAUCUCCUCCAGAAAUACCCCCGCGGACAUACCAAGAAACACUGCUGUACCAGUAUCCAGGUAUGCCUUCAUCUGGUCAGAUUAACACCUAAAAUUAACCAUCACACUACCAGCAGGAACACACAGAGGUCUGAGCUCUGAUGAUGAGACUCCUGUGAGGUGAACUAAUGUGACAGAGCAUAAAACAAUAUACAAAUUAUAGGGACCCUAACAUUAAGACUUUUUGAAACCUUCCCAGAUGUCAGGUGGCUCUUUUAACAGAGGCCAUUCCUGUAGGCUGACAUCCAGUUAUCCAGAGUUUGAGGAAAGAUAAAAUCCAGUAAAAGGAACUUAGAGGCAAAUUUGAGGAGAUGAGUUCUAAAGGACACCAGACUGCCAUGAGAAUGUCCCUUAGACUACAUAAAUAUUAGAAACAAUUAAAACAGCAUAAAAAUGAAGAAUUGUAUCCUAAUGGGAACAAAAUAUGCAUAGAGGAAUGCAUUUUCUUUCUAAAAUCCUGCAAAGGGCAUAUGCACUUACGUCUUUAAAAGUAGUCUACAGAUUAUUCCCAUUCUGAGCUAUUAAUUGUAUAUAUGCCCUAUAAAAUAUUGCUGUACAUAUCAUAAAUUACAUAUAUUCACUCUCUCUCUCUAUAUAUACACACACACACACUUUAUUUUUGUGGAGAAUGGAAGGGGUGUGGCAGGUUAACUUUGCAGCUCAACUAUUUGUCAGGGGCACUGAUGUCAUCGAGUCACUGAGAACCUAAGUUCUAUUUCCCCAAGCAGGGAUGGGAGACACGAGAUCCUGGCCUGGACCUGAAAUGGGCACAAGGUUCUUCUUCUAUGUGGCCCUUUGUCUCCUGUGGACAGGACACAUGGAUGCUGGAAUCACCCAGAGCCCAAGAUACAAGAUCACAGAGACAGGAACACCAGUGACUCUGAGAUGUCACCAGACUGAGAACCACCGCUAUAUGUACUGGUAUCGACAAGACCUGGGGCAUGGGCUGAGGCUGAUCCAUUACUCAUAUGGGGUUGAAGACACUGACAAAGUAGAAGUCUCAGAUGGCUACAGUGUCUCUAGAUCAAAGACAGAGGAUUUCCUCCUCACUCUGGAGUCCGCUACCCGCUCCCAGACAUCUGUGUACUUUUGUGCCAGCAGUGAAUCCACAGUGCUGCACGGUUGCCUCCUCUCUGCACAUAAAGGACAGUUAGAAAGACUGAGGUUACUCUGUGUCUGUCCCCACCCUGGACUGUUCAGGCCUCCACAGGAGUCAGAGAGCCCUGGCCAGCCUGGAGGCCAUAGAGCAGGGGCCUUAGGACCCUCAGUGCUGACGUGCAUUCCUACCCCAGUCUCAAACCAACUGGAGGUCACCCCAACACCCUUAGCUUGCCUAGUCUCUCUUCUGCAACUCUUGUUUUUUUCUGCUUUUAGAAAGGAAAAGGCAUCACUAGUUGAGAUUAGUGAUAAUUAUCUUAACCCCGAAGCCUGGACUUCUUCUCUCACCUGUGGGCUUCAGUGACUUCUUCAUCUGCCCCUUUCCCCAUCCUCCACUAUCCCUUCCACUCACAGUCACGAACCUUCACUCCUGACCUCUGUUCCUGGCUGCCUUUCCUCUAUGGGGCAAUAGCCUCAUGGGGCCCUCUCUCAUUUGCCCUUCACCUACAUCUCCAUCAUCAUUUUGUACAAGUCUGCCCUGGUUCUCUCUGCUCCAGCCACACUCCUCUAUGUUCAGUUAUUUCCUCAUAUGUGUUAUGUUGUUUUGAUGUGUUUUUACAGAUUACUUUUUUUGUACUGAGCAUAUGUUCCUCCCUUUUAUCCCCAAGUCUCUACUUAAUUCCUUACAUGAGAGUAUAUUUCAGGUACAUUUACUCUUAACUAUAAGCAGAAAAACUUAAAUUUUACUAGAAGAAAUUAAGGAAAAUAUUUUUAUCCUUUGAGGGAAGAAUUUCUUAGUGGAAACACAAAAGAACACAAGCCAUAAA